UACGUAGGGUGCGAGCGUUGUCCGGAAUUAUUGGGCGUAAAGAGCUCGUAGGCGGUCUGUCGCGUCGGAUGUGAAAACCCAGGGCUUAACCCUGGGCCUGCAUUCGAUACGGGCAGACUAGAGUUCGGUAGGGGAGACUGGAAUUCCUGGUGUAGCGGUGAAAUGCGCAGAUAUCAGGAGGAACACCGGUGGCGAAGGCGGGUCUCUGGGCCGAUACUGACGCUGAGGAGCGAAAGCGUGGGGAGCGAACAGG
rnacentral:rRNA from 1 species